UGGAAACAACGUGACAUCAUAUGUAUAUAUUAGUAUAGCAAGGAGAAACGGCUAACAUUGUAUUUUAUGGUAAAAAUGAGAUAAAGCAUAACAUGUUUUAUGCCCCACCUACGAUAGUAGGGGGCAUUAUGUUUUCUGGUCUGUGCGUCCGUUCGUCCGUCCGUUCGUUCGUCUGUUCGUUUGUUCGUUCGUCCGUCUGUCCCGCUUCAGGUUAAAGUUU
rnacentral:lncRNA from 1 species